AUGAACGCUGGCGGCGUGCCUCAUACAUGCAAGUCGAGCGCACAGACGAGGAGCUUGCUCCUCUGACGUUAGCGGCGGACGGGUGAGUAACACGUGGAUAACCUACCUAUAAGACUGGGAUAACUUCGGGAAACCGGAGCUAAUACCGGAUAAUAUAUUGAACCGCAUGGUUCAAUAGUGAAAGACGGUUUUGCUGUCACUUAUAGAUGGAUCCGCGCCGCAUUAGCUAGUUGGUAAGGUAACGGCUUACCAAGGCAACGAUGCGUAGCCGACCUGAGAGGGUGAUCGGCCACACUGGAACUGAGACACGGUCCAGACUCCUACGGGAGGCAGCAGUGGGGAAUCUUCCGCAAUGGGCGAAAGCCUGACGGAGCAACGCCGCGUGAGUGAUGAAGGUCUUCGGAUCGUAAAACUCUGUUAUUAGGGAAGAACAAAUGUGUAAGUAACUAUGCACGUCUUGACGGUACCUAAUCAGAAAGCCACGGCUAACUACGUG
rnacentral:rRNA from 1 species